rnacentral:rRNA from 1 species
AGCGAACGCUGGCGGCAGGCCUAACACAUGCAAGUCGAACGGAUCCUUCGGGAUUAGUGGCGGACGGGUGAGUAACACGUGGGAACGUGCCCUUUGGUUCGGAACAACUCAGGGAAACUUGAGCUAAUACCGGAUGUGCCCUUCGGGGGAAAGAUUUAUCGCCAUUGGAGCGGCCCGCGUCUGAUUAGCUAGUUGGUGAGGUAACGGCCCACCAAGGCGACGAUCAGUAGCUGGUCUGAGAGGAUGAUCAGCCACACUGGGACUGAGACACGGCCCAGACUCCUACGGGAGGAAGCAGUGGGGAAUCUUGCGCAAUGGGCGAAAGCCUGACGCAGCCAUGCCGCGUGAAUGAUGAAGGUCUUAGGAUUGUAAAAUUCUUUCAGCGGGGACGAUAAUGACGGUACCCGCAGAAGAAGCUCCGGCUAACUUCGUG